rnacentral:rRNA from 1 species
UACAGAGGUCUCAAGCGUUGUUCGGAUUCACUGGGCGUAAAGGGUGCGUAGGUGGUUGGGUAAGUCUGAUGUGAAAUCUCCGAGCUCAACUCGGAAACUGCCUUGGAUACUAUUCGGCUAGAGGGUUGGAGGGGGGACUGGAAUUCUCGGUGUAGCAGUGAAAUGCGUAGAUAUCGAGAGGAACACCAGUGGCGAAGGCGAGUCCCUGGACAACUCCUGACACUGAGGCACGAAAGCUAGGGGAGCAAACAGG